AUGUCCCCGAGGAAGAAACCCAAAGCCGAGGCCGUCUCCCUCGACGCCGCCGGCCUCGACCGUCUCAGCGCCCUCCCGGACGACCUCCUCCACGCGGUCAUGUCGUUCCUGAGGGCGUGGGAGGUGGCCCGCACCUGCGUGCUCUCGCGCCGCUGGCGCACCCUCUGGGCCUCCGCGCCCUGCGUCGACCUCCGGGUCUGCUGCAAGGCCCGGCACCGGCGCCUCCCCACGCGGCUCGCCAACUUCACCAACCACUUCCUGCUCCUGCGGGAGGCGUCCGCGCCGCUGGACGCCCUCCGCCUCCUGUCCAGCCCGCCACGUCAGGAUGUUCCAUACAUGCCCUACAGUCCCCAGUACGACGACGACGGGGAGGACUACUCCUCCGAGGACGUCGAAAUGUGGAUCCGCGCUGCCAUAAACCGCAGGGCCCGGUUCAUCCAGCUCAGCCAUCAUCCAAGGGACGACGACCUCUCCGACCUCGACAACGUGCCCCUCGUCUCCUGCCACCUCAAACACCUGCAUCUGUCGGGCACAAUGCUGUACGACAAGACGCUGAGGCAGCUCUCCUCUCACUGCCCUUCUCUGCAAGUCCUGGAGCUCAAGGACUGCUCCCUGGAUGGCCCCCACAUUUCAUCUGCCUCGCUUAUCACUUUGACCAUGGUCGAGUGCAGGUUCAUCAGGGACCUCACCGUUGCUGCUCCAAACCUCAUAUCGCUGCGCUGUGUCAAUCCAUACCACCGUGCUCCCUCAUUCGAAGACAUGGCUUCCCUGGCCACAGCCACAAUCGUGCUUAAUGACUCUUUCUUGCAUGAUGAGUUUGAAGAGAGGUACGUAGAGCCCGAUCCAGAGGUGUUUGAGUGUGACAGCGACUCAAAUGAUGAUAGCGACUUGAGUACAUGUGAUGAAUUCUAUGGUGACAAAGUUUUAGGUGGCCAAAAUGUUAUCCGCAGCCUGUCGAAUGCUACAAGUUUGGAGCUGAUAGCUGAUGCCGAAGAGGUGAUUCUGAAUAGGGAAUUGGAGAUGUGCCCAGUUUUUAGCAACCUGAAGGUGUUAUCCCUUGGUGAAUGGUGUAUGGCUGCUGACUUGCAUCCAUUAGUUUUGUUCCUGCAGCAUGCUCCAAAUCUCGAGAGGCUUUUUCUUAAACUCAAAACGGAACAUGAGGAAAUAGAUGACGAUAUCAAACCCGAGGGUACAUCAUUUGCUUGCAAAAACCUUACAAUGGUCAAUAUAAAAUGUCCCAAGGAUGAUGAAAGAGUUCCUGUGUUAGAACAGUUCUUCGUGGCUAAUGGCAUCGCGAUGGAAAAGAUAUCUGUCUAUCACCGACCAACUCACCAACCUCGCCUUUCCUUGGCCAUAAGACGCUGA
rnacentral:rRNA from 1 species